GUACGCCGAAAGGGAAACAGGUUAAUAUUCCUGUACCUGUAUCAAACAAUCCUGACGCUUUCGGAUAGGCAUUGCGAGCCAUCGCUCCGUCUAAGCUGGAUAUGAAAUUGGAGUACCGUAAUGGUGAGAAUUUUUCAAAACGGUGAUGGGGUAACAAUGCUGAUUCCAGGAGCCCGUGAAAAGGGUGAUACGGUCCGUACCGAGAACUGACACAGGUGCCCCUCGCUGAGAAGGCGAAGGCGUGUCGGGAGUAAAUGUGUUAAGGGAACUCGGCAAAUUAGCCCUGUAACUUUGGGAUAAGGGGUGCCUGCCCAGCGAUUGGGCAGGUCGCAGUGACAAGAUCGCUCCGACUGUCUAAUAACAACAUAGCAAACUGCAACUCCGAAAGGACUCGCAUAGUCUGUGAUUCCUGCCCAGUGCGAGUAUCUGAACACCGGGUUCAACCGGACGAAGGACUCGUAAACGGCGGGGGUAACAAUGACCCUCUUAAGGUAGCGUAGUACCUUGUCGCUUAAUUGGCGACUUGCAUGAAUGGAAUAACGAGAGCGAUACUGUCCCUAACACAUACCCGUUGAACCUUUUGUACUAGUGCAGAGACUAGUGACUCCUUAUGGGAAGUGAAGACCCCGUGGAGCUUUACUGCAGCCUGUCGUUGGGUUACGGUAUUACCUGCGCAGGGUAGAUGGGAGACGUCGAUCCAACCCUUGUGGGGGUUGGUUAGUCAACGAUGAGACACCAUCCUGGUUUUAUUGUAAUUCUAACUGAUUUAUCAGGACAUCGAUAGGUAGGCAGUUUGGGUGGGGCGCCACACCCUCGAAAAAAUAUCAAGGGUGCCCUAAGGUCAACUCAAGCGGGUCAGAAACCCGCUGAAGAGUGUCGAGAGCAAAAGUUGGCCUGACGCGAUUUCGCAUAGCAAGAAAUCGCGAGAGGAAACUCGGGUCUAACGAACCAAUACGCCCUGUUGAUGAGGGCUAUUGACUACAGAAAAGCUACCCCGGGGAUAACAGAGUCGUCGCCGGCAAGAGCACAUAUCGACCCGGCGGCUUGCUACCUGAUGUCGGUUCUUUCCAUCCUGGCUGUGCAGCAGCAGCCAAGGGUGAGGUUGUUCGCCUAUUAAAGGGGAUCGUGAGCUGGGUUUAGACCGUCGUGAGACAGGUCGGUUACUAUCUAUAAGGAGUGUUGGAAGUCUGAAGGCAAGAAUGAAAUAGUACGAGAGGAGCUUUCAUUCGGCGCCACUGGUCUACCGGUUGUCUGACAAGGCACCGCCGGGCAGCUACGCGCCAAGAGAUAAAAGCUGAAAGCAUCUAAGCUUGAAACUCAGCCUGAACAAGAGACUUCAUUAAAGACACGGGUAAAAGACCCGGUUGAUAGGUUCGGGAUGUACGCACGAAGGCAACGACGUGUUCAGUCCGCGAAUACUAAUUGUCUU
rnacentral:rRNA from 1 species